UUCAGCAAUGGCCGCUCCCUUGGGCGGGAUGUUUUCGGGGCAGGCGCCUGGCGCCCCGCAGCCCCCACCGGGGCUCCCGGGACAGGCUUCUCUUCUUCACGCCACCCCUGGAGCUCCUAGGACUUCCAGCAGUACGUUGGUGGAUGAGUUGGAGUCUUCUUUCGAGGCUUGCUUUGCUUCCCUUGUGAGUCAGGACUACGUCAAUGGCACAGAUCAAGAAGAAAUUCGCACAGGUGUCGAUCAGUGUAUCCAGAAGUUUUUGGAUAUUGCUAGACAGACGGAAUGUUUUUUUCUACAGAAAAGACUGCAGCUCUCUGUGCAGAAACCUGAGCAAGUGAUCAGAGAGGAUGUGUCGGAGCUGAGAAGUGAGCUGCAGCGGAAGGACGCGCUGGUCCAGAAGCACCUGACCAAGCUAAGGCACUGGCAACAGGUGCUGGACGACAUCAACAUGCAGCAGAAAAAGCCUCCUGACAUCCCCCAGGGCUCCCUGGCCUACCUGGAACAGGCCUCUGCCAACAUCCCCGCCCCCAUGAAGCCCAGCUGAACUGCCGCCAUGCCCAGGGACCUGGGGUGCCUGGCACCCACCCUUUGGACAGACCUUAUGUUCCCGGGCACUUGGAAGGUGAUACCUCUGGUCCCCUCCUUUUAGAAGCCUUGAUUUUGAGAAGACUUUGUAAAAUGCCUUCAACUUUGGCAAACCAAACAGAUACCCCUCCUCCUUAUUUUUUUGUCUUAGGCCAAGUUCCAGUGUUUGUUAUUAAGGCCUCUGGAGUGUCUUUUGUGUUUUGUUGUUGUUGCAUGUAUGACUUUUCCUUCCUUUUGUGUUCCUAGUUGGAUCAGUCACUAGGUCCUGACUUGGGAGUCAGGGGACGGGAUGGGAUGUGGCUGUUGACAUUUCCUGGCCUCCCUCCCUGGGGCUGGGAGCUGGUGAAUGCUGAGCCAGACCUGAACUACCUCAAGAGAGAGGAAUCUAACACCGCUGUGGCUGCCGCUCUCGGUGCCCCGGCAGGGCUGCUUCCCGCAACUUUAGUGUCAUGAUAUCGCAUUGGAUCCUACGUGGAUGCUGGCCUUGACCUUGGCAGGUUUCCACCUUAGACCCACCCACGUCUACCAGUGUCUUUGAGGCUCUCUUCUCUCCACCUUGGA